rnacentral:misc_RNA from 1 species
AAGUCGUAACAAGGUUUCCGUAGGUGAACCUGCGGAAGGAUCAUUAAAAGUGAUUGUAGUUAUUUCAUCGAUUUACUCAAUGUCUAGUCCAAACUUUAGCCCAAUUUUCCAAGCCCAAUUGUCCGAAGCCUUUGCCAUCCGUUUUGGCCCUUUGCCUUGAUCGGGUUCCCCAUUGGGGGCCUAGCCAUCCAUGGAUGGUCCAACCUUCCUUUUGGUUGGAUGUGAAAACCCCAAGAGAGUCUCCCAUGGGAGGUAAUCAUUAAAUUCAUGUAUCCAAUGUCUUCUGUCUGAACUGUUUAUAACAAAUGUUAAAA